UUUCCGUAGGUGAACCUGCGGAAGGAUCAUUGUAGGAUUGUUUUGGGAGGGGUGGUUGUGAUUUGUGGGGAUUGUGUGUGGUUGUUUGGAUUGCUUGGAUUGCCUGGCUGUCUGCAACUCGACUCGUCUCAUCACAACCACUCUUUACAUUGGCACAGACCAGUGGUCUGGUGUUUGGAGCAACAAGACCAGUGGUGUCUGAUGUUUGCGCUUGCUCGUUUGACAGAAACAGUACCACAUUAUUACAAAACUUUUAACAAUGGAUCUCUUGGCUCUU
rnacentral:misc_RNA from 1 species